CGAAUAUCCGCCAGUUUUGGGUGGCAUCUAAUUCUCGUUAACCAAUGCAGACAAUUAAAACAAUGUGAAAAGCAAUUUUUCAAAAUAAACUAAGCAUUUACAAAGCAAAUUUACCAUCAUUCGUCCAAAACUGAAUUAUAAAAAGUCGCUGUUAUGUGGACUUAUCUCGCAGACUUCGGCUGAAAUGCCACCCAAAAAUGGCGGCGUGAGAAAGGCCAAUUGAUUUCCACAUAAUCACUACAAUCGCUGGUACAUUUAUUCAGCAAUCGUAACGAUUGAAGCGAUCGUAACGAUCAUAACCAGACUUUAAAUGAAAACAUUGAGAGAGCAAAAUUGGUCAUAAAGAAAAGUGUGUGGGCGGCCGGUGAGGUGGUCCACCUCUUGUAUAAUUUGUGAAUUCAUGUAGUGUUGUAUGAAUCGAAUAAAUCUGUAUCCCAGUCCACUAUACCGUUG